UAUGACAGAGCUCCUUCCUGGUGGUUUUCAGAGAUGUCAGGAAGAGUGGUAAAGCCACAGAGGACUCAAGAGAUGCCCUGCUGCACCAUCUUCACCUAUCCUUGAGAUGCAGGGUGAAUGAGUGAAGACUACAGAAGAAGAGAGGUCUCCAAAGAAGGGUCUGAGGAGUUCCCAGAAGAGAAAUAACGAGGUGCUGCAAGAAGUCAAAUAUGAGCUCAGAAGUGGGUGGGCAAGGCAAAUGUAAUUCUGCAGAAGAAUGUGCUUCCAAAGGUGAGCAAGCACACCUGGGUGGGCAGUCUGCCAAUAUUCAUCCCUAAUGAGGUACUGCCCCUCAAUCCCAAUAGGAAGCACUUGGGGGUGGGUACAAUCUAUGCAAUUGACUAAUUUUAUAAUUUUAUAAUUAAGGUGGGCAAAAGAGAAGGGCUACAAUUGAAUCCAAUUAAGGCUGAAUACUAGAUUUUGAAAAUGAACCACCAGACUUUGUAUUUCUCUCACAGAAGAGAGGGAAAAGAAUUUCAGCUUGAGCCAGACAAAGGCAUAGGCACGUUUAUUUAGGAAGGCAGACACACAUUCAAGGGAGAAUGUGGGCUAUCUGGAGAGUGAGAAGCAGCCCUGACUUGGGCUGGGGGUCCAAUAUUUAUAGGACUGUUUCAGGGGCUGGUCUAGAGGUGGAUUCAGGCUGGAGCUGCAAAAUUUUGCACCAGUUUUCCCUGACCUUGCAUAUUUCCCUCGUUUUACAAGGGCAUUGGCCAGCUAUUGGGUUGCUCAAGAUUUAUAACUAUGCUUUCUACAUCUAAAUGACUUGUGGGUGUUUUCUUUAAGAUUCAGUAUUUCUCUCUUUGUCCUAAAUCCCUAUCUUGCUCUCUCCCUCUUCCUCCCUAAUAUUGCCCCCUUCCUAAUCUCAGGGAGAAAAGGAUUACCUUUCUUCCUUAUCCUAGGCAGAGUUAUCUGUCUUUGAGCACAAACCCACCACAGGAAAGAAGUGAUUCAGAUUUGGGGGAUGACACCAGAAGAUCUCAGAAAUGACCAUCUCCCAAAUUAACAAGUAAAUUACAACUCCAACAGAGAACAUGUGGAAUGUAACCUUUGAUUCACCUCUUUAUAAAUCCCUGUUCCCCCAGAAGGGCAGAAUCACAGCCUCUGAGUCAGGAGUGACACCAAAAAUGAAAUAAAUGUCAGCAAUAGUAUAGUGGAUGAAAGGAAGUUGUAAUUGAGAAUGCUCUGUUAUAAGGUAACUGUGCUACUAAUGAAGCAGUAUAAUGUUAUUUGGAAGUGGACUUAAACUUGACCUGGUGGCACAUGCCUAUAAUUCCACUACUUGGGAGGCUGAGGGAGUAGGAUUGUAAGUUCAAGGGCAACCUUGUGAACUUAGGAAGACCUUUUCUCAAAAUUAAAAAAAAAAUGGGGGUAUAACUCAGUGGUUGAGCACUCCUGGGGUUCAAUCCUCAUUACCAUCCCCCCCACACACAAAGUAGAUUUAGAUAGUUAUGAAUGUAUAUUGAAAACUCUAGGGAAAGCACUAAAAAUAUUUUAAAAAUAUAAUUUAACAUGCUAAGUAAAGAAAAAAAAUGGAUUCAUAUAAAAUUUUCAGUCAAAACCAAAGAAGGGAGGAAAAAAAGAGGGAAGAUAUAAAAAAAAAACCCCAAAAAUUAUAAUGAAUAGAACACACAAACACAAUAAAAUUAAUCAAACUUUAUCAACAGUCACUUUAAAUUUGAAUUGUCUAAAUACAUCAAUUGAAAGGUAAAGGCUUUCAGAGUAUAUCUAAAAAGACCCAACUAUAUCAUUUCUAAAUUCACUUUAUAUAUAAAAACAUACAUUUAAGGUGAAGGGAUGGAGAAAGAUAUACCUUAAUGAUACAAAUGAAAUGAUAACUGAAGUACCAAUUUCAGACAAAAAAGAUUUCAGAAAAUGAUUAGGGAUAAAGAAUGGUCAAUUCUCCAAGAAGACAUUACAGUCCUUAACAUGUACGCACCUUAACAACAGAUUAUCAAAAUAAUGUAAAGCAAAACUGAUUGAACAGAAAGAAGAAAAAGAACUCCAUUAUUAUAGUUGGAAACUUUAACACUCUUUUAUUAGUAAUUGGCAGAUCCAGCUGGCAGAAAAUCAGUGAGGACAGUUGAACUGGAGAACACCAUCAAUCAAUUGGAUAUAAGUGACAUUUAUCAAAUACUUCAUCCAACCAAGCAGAAUAGAAAUUCUUCUCAAGCUUGCAUGGAACAUUUGCCAAGAUAGACCACUUUCUAGGUCAUAAACCAUAUCCUAACAAAUUUAAAAGAAAAUAAAUCAUACAAAGCUUGCUUCCAGACCACAAUGAAAUUAAACUAGAAAUCAAUAGCAGAAACAUAGCUAGAAAAUGCCAAAACAUUUAGAUGUUAAACAUACUUCUAAAUAACCCAUGCAUCAAAAAACUCUGAAGAGAAAUUAAACAUUUUAAAAAAUAUCUUGAAGUGAAAUGAAAAUAUAACCCAUCAAAAUUUUUGGAUACAGCAAAAUGCAGUGCUUAUAGGGAAAUUUAUAGCACUGAAUGUGUAUUAUUAGAAAAGAAGAAAAACCUAAACAGUAAUCUAAGCUUUCACCUUAGGAAACUAGAGAAAUAAAAGCAAUACAAGCCUAUUGCUAGCAAAAGAAAAGAAAUAAUAAGAACUGCUGGGUGCAGUAGCUCAUGCCUGUAACCCCAGUGACUCAGGAGGCUGAGGCAGAAAGAUCUCAAGUUCAAGGCCAUCCUUAGCAACUUAGCCAGACCCUAAGCAACUUAGCAAGAUCCUGUCUCAAAUUUAAAAAAAAAAAAUAUAUGAUUGGGGAUCUAGUUCAGUGGUAAAGUGCUCCUUGGUUCAAUACCCCCUGCCAAAAAAGGUAGUAAAAACUACAGGAGAAAUCAAUGGAAUUGAGAAUAGGAAAACAAUAAAGAAUAUCAACAAAAUUAGAAACUGUCUCUUUGAAAAGAUUAAUAAAAUUGAUAAAUCUAUAACCAGGCUAAUCAAGACAAAAAGAGGAAAGAUGCAAAUUACUAAUAUCAGAAAUGAAAGAGACACCAUCACAAUAGAUCUCAUGAAAAUUAAAAAGAUAAUAAAGAAAUACUAUGAAUAACUCUAUGCCCACAAAUUUGGUAACUUAGAUGAAAUGGACCAAUUCCCGGAAAGAAGCAACUUGGUAAGAUGCUAUCUUAAGAUGAAAAUAAAAAUGGCCAGGGAUGUACCCCAGUGAUAGAACAGCAUUUCUGGGAUCCAUCCCCAGUAGCAAAAAAAUAAAUAGAUUAAUAAAUUAAUUAAAAGAGAAAUGGAUCAUUUAAUUGCCAGAAACUGUAAACAAUCAAGAUGAUACUAAUAGGUAAGUGGAUAAACAAAAUUCAAUGCAUUCAUACAAUGGAAUAUCAUUUGGCAGUGAAAAAAUUAAAAGCUAUCAAAACGUGAAAAAGCAUGGAGGAACCUUACAGGUGUAUUCUUAAGUGAAGACGUUGUAUGAAAAAUCUACCUAGUAUGCAAUCCCAACUAUAUGAUUUUCUGGAAAAGGCACACUUUUAGAUACAGUUGGGCUAGGGUUAUAGUUCAGUGGUAGAAUACUUACCUAAUAUGCACAAGGCCCUGGGUUCAAUUUCUGGCAUUGGAAAAGAAAAUUCUGAAGAUAUGAAAAAAGGUCAGUGGUCACCAGGGUAUUAGGAUGAGAUUGGUUUGGAGAAAAGAUAUAAAUAGAUGAAGCACAGAGAAAUUUUAGGGUAGUGAAACUAUUUCAUUUGAUACUAUUAUAGUAGAUAAUAGUAUCAAAUGGAUAAUAGUAUCAAAUGCCAAAAUCCAUAGAACUGUAUAACACAGUGAACCUUAAUAUAAACUAUAGUCUUUAUUUAAUAAUAAUGAACAAUAUUGAUUCAUUAAUUGUAGCAAGUGUACCACACUAAUACAAGAUGUUAAUACCAUGUACUAAUACCACCCAAGAUGUUAAUAUUGAGGGAAAAUGUGUAGGGGAAUAGGGAUAUAUGGGAACUAUUUGUACUAUUGGUUCAAUUUUCUUUUGUAAAACUAAAACUUCUAAAAAAUUUUAUUAAUCAAAAAUACUUUCAGCUUCAUAUACCUUCUAAACCUACCUUGAAUAACAGGACUCAAAGCUACCAGCUUAGUGUUUCCUCUUGGUAUAUAGUAUUCUUUUACCAACCUUCCUUAUCACCCUGAGAUCACAGGAAGGGAAGCCUAAGUGUUCUUUUUCACCUACUGCAUGACAGGUAGCUGUGCUUAUUUUUUGGCCUUCAGUAUUGGCUACCAAUAUUCCUUCCAGCACUGACUGCAGACAUUGUUUAUCAAUUAUAACCCUCUCUCACUAAGCCUGGGAAGUCUUGAGGCUGUACCACUAUAAUUCUUAAUUAGUUGGGGCUUAGCACAAUAAACAAGUACCAUUUUCUAUGUCUGAACUAGGUAUUUAUAAUUAAUUCCACAAUAGAGAUGUAAUUGCCUCAGGUUUCUUCUUGGAUCUUCAUCUAUUUCUUAGAGCAAAUUGUCAAUAUUUGUUCUUAUGAAAAAUGAUUUUGAAAGUACUAUUUUGCUUCUAAAAUGCCUCAUAAAAAUGGAAUGUUUCUGAGUAAUAAUUAACAUUUUCCUUCUUGCAUACUGGUUUUCAAAACUCUCAAACACAGAAAGUUUUCUCCCAGGUUUAUGGAAUAGAGUGGAGGUCAGCAAACUGACUGAUAAUAAAUAUUUUUGUUUUUGCAA